AGCUCAUGCUCACCCCUACCCCCACCCCUGCCCCAUGGUGUCAUUUAACUUUCAUCUUCACAACAACCCAGGACGUGGACAACGGCAAGAUGAGGACACCCAGGCCCAGAGAGGGAAGGGACCUGCCAGGAGAUGAUGGGGGACCGGGAUUCAAUCUAGGCAACUUCAAAGGCCAGGUGUUCUCAGCCACGGCCCUCGGCCCAGGUCGGAGUCAGGAACCUCAUUGCCUAGGACACCCGUCACAUCUGCGCGGGAGACCAGUUGCCCAGCACCUGUGUCUGCCGCACAGCAGGAGCUCACUAAGCGUUUGACGAAUGAAUAAAGGAGUGACUGGACAAGCGAACGAAUGAACGACCUUCCGUGCUCUGUCUCAGUCCCAGGGGUUCAGGGACCAUUAAUUUUUUUAUGGACGAUCAAACCCGGAUAGAGUGGAAGGACCACCGCACACGGCUGAUUCCAAAACAGUAACCAAGGCACCAGGGACGAACACCUGGGGGUCAACCAGGAGAGGAGACAUGGCCGUGGAGCUGGCCUGGGCUCUGGAUGCUGGGAGGAGGGGAAGCCCCUGCGUGUCCAGGACACACACGCCCCUGCCCCCCACUCACUGGACAGCCUUCGCAGAAGGAGGAGCAGCAGGAGGUGACAGCUCCCCAAGGGAGCCCGCUGCAGAAGUCAGGACCCCUGGGGUCCUCCCUCGCCCCUGGUGGCCAGUUCCCCUCCACUCCAGGCCUCUUCUCUCCCAUCUGUCCAUUGCAGGGUGGGCCUAGAGGUGGACAAAGAAGAGCAG
rnacentral:lncRNA from 1 species